CAGCCGCCGCGGUAAUACGAAGGGGGCUAGCGUUGCUCGGAAUGACUGGGCGUAAAGGGCGCGUAGGCGGAUUGUUUAGUUAGGCGUGAAAUUCCUGGGCUUAACCUGGGGACUGCGCUUAAUACAGGCAGUCUAGAGUGAGGAAGAGGGUUGUGGAAUUCCCAGUGUAGAGGUGAAAUUCGUAGAUAUUGGGAAGAACACCGGUGGCGAAGGCGGCAACCUGGUCCUUGACUGACGCUGAGGCGCGAAAGCGUGGGGAGCAAACAGGAUUAGAUACCCGAGUAGUCCCUGUCUCUUAUAC
rnacentral:rRNA from 1 species